rnacentral:rRNA from 1 species
CCCUUAGAUGUUCUGGGCCGCACACGCGCUACACUGAAGGAGGCAGCGUGUACUCCUGGAUCGAAAGAUUUGGGUAACCCGCGAAUCUCCUUCGUGCUAGGGAUUGAGGUUUGCAAUUAUCCUUCAUGAACGAGGAAUUCCCAGUAAGUGCAAGUCAUAAGCUUGCGCUGACUACGUCCCUGCCCUUUGUACACACCGCCCGUCGCUACUACCGAUUGAGUGAUUUAGUGAGGACUUCGGACUGGGACCGAUGCGGCUUUCGGGCUGCGUCGGUAUUCUGGAAAGAUGUCCAAACUGUAUCAUUUAGAGGAAGUAAAAGUCGUAACA